rnacentral:lncRNA from 1 species
GAAUUUAUACUUCACAGAUUUCAUUACAUAAAGAGAUGUUCAGAAGGACGCCAGGAUUAUAAAUCUCCAGGUGUUUUUCUACAAUACAAUCAUACUCUUCUUUUCAUGGAAGAUGGAAUCCAGGAAGAACAGUAGAUCUGCAUCUGAAUACUAUUUGGCUGUGGUCAACACAGAUCAGAGUCAUGUUCAAAUACUGUUCCUUUAGCUCUUAGGAACUGACCAAAGGUGCAGGAACUGACUACAUGCCCUGCAUCCAUGAGCACAGGAUAGAUUUAUGUAAAAGCAUUCCUCUCUUUUAUUUACUUAUUUUCAUUUCACUCCAAAGAGGAUUUUGGGUGUUUUCACUGCAGUACUUUGAGAUCUUCAGCAUCCUUCUUCUCUGGUGUUUGAAUUUAGAAUGUUAUAACCUUAAGGCUUAUAUGACAAAUGUUAAUAAGCCACAUGAAAACUCCUGUUGACAAAAUAAUUUUUAAGAGUCCUUUUAA